ACAGUUCUGGAAGGCACUGUGCAGGCUUCUGGGAGAGGUUUACCCAGCACAGGACCAGGCAAACAUGUGCUCACUGGAGAAGUGUUGCUCUGACAGUUAUUGCAAUAACCAACCAUUUUCUGAUUGGAUUUGAGGCCUGCUCCACAGGAAGGACUUCAUGCCUGGGGCUGUGAAUCUGAUCCUCCUGGAAGGAAAAAGAGACUUGUCGACAUUCCUUCUCCUUGCUGCGAUUAACAUCAGAUGUCUGACCACAAGGAAGCUGAACGAACUCAGGAGCUGCUUCAGGACCUGUGAGAUGGCUUGGCAGGUAUAAACUGCUUCCUUGUGCAUCUACCUGAUUAUUGGUCAAGGCACAUACAAAGGCAUGAGAGAAGGUUACUAUUGUAAAAGUGGCUUACAAGCUGUGGUCCAGCUAGUUCAACAAUGGCCAUCUACCAAUGGAAAGUCCAAGAAUCUACUAGUUGUUCAGCCAUCAAGACUGGAUGUCUCACCUGGUCUUCACUAUAUGCCAGAAUCCUGAAGAAGCCGUCUCUAAUGCCAAUGAAGGAAUGAACUUGCUAGCAAGAGCAAAGGCAAGCAGGCAUUGGUCUUCAGCCACUGCUGAGAAAUGGCAGAACUGGCAAGAUUGUCCAACUGUGACCUGCCCUCUUGACUUCAAACUGCCUUCCCCGGCUGGUCUUAGUGUUUAUUCUCCCUCACAGAGCUGACUUCUGGCAGACUUUUCUUUUUGAGUUGCUGGUGUUUUGUGGUCAGUAAAUCAGCAUAAUUUUAGCGACAGCAGAAAGGGAGGCAAAGUUGUGCAAUUCUUUUAUUAUUCUUAAUCUCUCCCCCAAGAGAAAUAAAUCUGGAAAAGGAAUAGGGAGGCUCAAUGGGAAGGGCUGGAGAGAAUGGUGUUUCUGAGAAGACAGAAUUAUAGCAACAGCUGUGCUGGGCGAGAGGAGCUCACUGGAGCCCGCCAUGAACUGCUCACCGCUCCUUACUUACAUCUCCCCUCCUUCCCUGCUCUUCUGCACCCACACCCACACUACUUCAGGUGGCUUAUAAAGUUGAAGCAAUCCAUUUGGAGGUCUGGGGCCAUGUUUGAUCAUAUUGCCUCAGAGGAGAGCCCAUUGACAUAGAGCCAGACUACCUGGGCAGACUGAGAGCUUCCUGGCAUGUGUUUGGGUGAAGAAUUAGUGAUGUGUAGCUCUUCAAAAUUGAUUCACUAAUUCAAAUGUCAAAUAAGCCAGGGUACACACCCUGGCUCAGAUACAAACUUGCCAAGGUUUCCUUUGGACCUAUGGCUCCUUCAGAACGGCAUCAUCUUGUGGUAAGCAUUCCUUCCUUGUAAGCAGGCAUCUGGUACAAUAACACCAACUGUAAAGUCGACCCCACAUACUACAGUUCCAGAGCUGCCUCAAGUGCUUUACAAAGAGCAAUGUGCUAAACACUCCCAAUAAGCCCAAGAAAUGUGCUCAUCACAGGAAGGUGAGAACAAGCUGAGGAAGGGUUGGUGUCCCAUUCUCAACACUAAAUAUUUGGAGAGCUGGGAUUCCUACUGGCAUUGCAUUGCUGGACUCUACAGUCUAGGCCUUUGUCUUCCCCAACUCAUCAGUGUGUAGCAGAAAGUAAUAAGCAAGCUAACACACACAAGGAAAGCCUGAGUCGGUUAAUGUAGUGGAUAUCUUAAAAGUAGAAUCAGAAAAAUGUUUUACUAUAAUCAGGCAUUGUGUUUUGUACCUUUCCCACCUGAAUCAGAAAUGCACACAUAAUGUUGGGGUGCUAAGAGGCCUUAAGCAGGGAAUUCAAACCAUGAUUUCACUCUGUGUCCAGGACUCUGUCUACUCUGCUGGCUGUCUUUUCCACAGUCCUUUUUGAAGAGGAUGACCUGGAAGCUCUACACCCUUUGGUCUUCCCAUGGUGGACCAGAAACUAUUUGGGGUUCUCAGAGUUCACUGACCAAACCCUCAUUGUAAUGUGCCUUGGCUAACAAAGGAUUAAGACAGACAGAGGCCCUGGGUUCCCAUGGGGCCCACAGUGGUAUCCAUUAGCCCUCAUGUGGUCUUGUCUAAGCCCCUCCCAAAAGCUUGUCUCAAAUAAAAAGUAGAAAAUGUU
rnacentral:lncRNA from 1 species